rnacentral:rRNA from 1 species
UACAGAGGGGGCAAGCGUUGUUCGGAAUUACUGGGCGUAAAGGGCGCGUAGGCGGCCUUCUAAGUCGAACGUGAAAUCCCCGGGCUCAACCCGGGAACUGCGUCCGAUACUGGAAGGCUUGAAUCCGGGAGAGGGAUGUGGAAUUCCAGGUGUAGCGGUGAAAUGCGUAGAUAUCUGGAGGAACACCAAUGGCGAAAGCAGCUCUCUGGGACGGUACUGACGCUGAGACGCGAAAGCGUGGGGAGCGAACAGG